AGUCGAGCGGGGUUUUCGGACCUAGCGGCGGACGGGUGAGUAAUGCGUAGGAAGCUGCCCGAUAGAGGGGGAUACCAGUUGGAAACGACUGUUAAUACCGCAUAAUGUCUACGGACCAAAGUGUGGGACCUUCGGGCCACAUGCUAUCGGAUGCGCCUACGUGGGAUUAGCUAGUUGGUGAGGUAAUGGCUCACCAAGGCGACGAUCUCUAGCUGGUUUGAGAGGAUGAUCAGCCACACUGGAACUGAGACACGGUCCAGACUCCUACGGGAGGCAGCAGUGGGGAAUAUUGGACAAUGGGCGCAAGCCUGAUCCAGCCAUGCCGCGUGUGUGAAGAAGGCCUUCGGGUUGUAAAGCACUUUCAGCGAGGAGGAAGGGAUGUAUGUUAAUAGCAUGCAUUUUUGACGUUACUCGCAGAAGAAGCACCGGCUAACUCUGUGCCAGCAGCCGCGGUAAUACAGAGGGUGCAAGCGUUAAUCGGAAUUACUGGGCGUAAAGCGCACGUAGGCGGUUGGUUAAGUUGGAUGUGAAAGCCCCGGGCUCAACCUGGGAAUUGCAUUCAAAACUGGCCAACUAGAAUACGGGAGAGGGGGGUAGAAUUCCAAGUGUAGCGGUGAAAUGCGUAGAGAUUUGGAGGAAUACCAGUGGCGAAGGCGGCCCCCUGGCCCGAUAU
rnacentral:rRNA from 1 species